GCCCCAUUAGACCAACUGGUAGAGUCGGCCGCUUCAAGUACGGCGUAGUCGCGGUUCGAAUCCGCGAUGGGGCACCA
rnacentral:tRNA from 2 species